GAUGAACGCUGGCGGCGUGCCUAAUACAUGCAAGUCGAGCGAACAGAUAAGGAGCUUGCUCCUUUGACGUUAGCGGCGGACGGGUGAGUAACACGUGGGUAACCUACCUAUAAGACUGGAAUAACUCCGGGAAACCGGGGCUAAUGCCGGAUAACAUUCAGAACCGCAUGGUUCUAAAGUGAAAGAUGGUUUUGCUAUCACUUAUAGAUGGACCCGCGCCGUAUUAGCUAGUUGGUAAGGUAACGGCUUACCAAGGCAACGAUACGUAGCCGACCUGAGAGGGUGAUCGGCCACACUGGAACUGAGACACGGUCCAGACUCCUACGGGAGGCAGCAGUAGGGAAUCUUCCGCAAUGGGCGAAAGCCUGACGGAGCAACGCCGCGUGAGUGAUGAAGGUCUUCGGAUCGUAAAACUCUGUUAUUAGGGAAGAACAAAUGUGUAAGUAACUGUGCACGUCUUGACGGUACCUAAUCAGAAAGCCACGGCUAACUACGUG
rnacentral:rRNA from 1 species